rnacentral:rRNA from 1 species
GUGGGGAAUAUUGGACAAUGGGCGCAAGCCUGAUCCAGCCAUACCGCGUGGGUGAAGAAGGCCUUCGGGUUGUAAAGCCCUUUUGUUGGGAAAGAAAUCCUGUCGAUUAAUACUCGGUGGGGAUGACGGUACCCAAAGAAUAAGCACCGGCUAACUUCGUGCCAGCAGCCGCGGUAAUACGAAGGGUGCAAGCGUUAGUCGGAAUUACUGGGCGUAAAGCGUGCGUAGGUGGUGGUUUAAGUCUGCUGUGAAAGCCCUGGGCUCAACCUGGGAAUUGCAGUGGAUACUGGAUCACUAGAGUGUGGUAGAGGGAUGCGGAAUUUCUGGUAUAGCAGUGAAAUGCGUAGAGAUCAGAAGGAACAUCCGUGGCGAAGGCGGCAUCCUGGGCCAACACUGACACUGAGGCACGAAAGCGUGGGGAGCAAACAGGAUUAGAAACCCGAGUAGUCC